GCAUUUUCCAGCAAAAAGUGUGAAACGCCUAUGCGGGGGAAAUUAGUCCACUGGACUGAUUUCUGAUACCGCUUCGAUAGGUAGAAUAAUGCGGCAAAACAAAUCGUUAGAGCGGUUCCGGCGAUUCUGUUAAAAUAGGAACCGCUCUAGAGAGCAGCC
rnacentral:misc_RNA from 1 species